UCUACUUAGGGGAAAAAAAAAAGAGAGAAGAAAUCCGCUUCGACCUCAAAACCCUAGCUUAGUACGGCGCCAGUGCCUGCGUUUCGCGUUA